rnacentral:ncRNA from 2 species
AAUAAAAGCUAGGGGAGCCGUAAACGGCUGAGAAAAGACACUUUGACCCUUUUACCUGAUGUAGAUAAUCCUACCGUAGGGAAGCUUAACAGGACUUCU